rnacentral:lncRNA from 1 species
UUAAAGUCAUAAGAAACCUCAAAUCAAAAAAAAAUUAAUGCAUAUGAUUUUUAUAACUCAAUGGAUAGUUUUCAUUAUAAAACUUAUGUACAUAUACUUUUUUUCUGAAGAAAAUUCUUUAAUUUAUUCAUAUUUAGAAGAAGUUUACUUUAUUUGAAUAGCUUCCUUCCAGCAAGCUAUUCCCCCGACAUAUUUUCCGUAUGCAAGGUGACCUCAGUGUGACCCAUCUCGUAAAAAUCCGGUGACCACAAUACGCAUGGAUGUCCUUAAAAUAAACUAUUAUCUGAAUUUACAUGUUAAACACGUGCUCAAUUUCCAUGCUUUUUUGUUUAUUUUUCGUCAAUUGUUGACAAACAGGUGACAAUCGUUAAACUUCGGCUUCAAAACACGAACUUUAAUUACCUGCCAUAUUUUCACAACAACACUGACCGAUUGAGAAAAAAAAUUGACAAUUAUACGAAAUUUACACGAAAAAAAUGAUAAAUUCGAGCACAGAAGACGAAGUUUAGGAUGUUUGUAUGCAUUAGUUCAAGAAUUGGAAGAACAUUAUUUUUCACCGGUCACUCG